UGAGGAAUAUUGGUCAAUGAUCGGGAGACUGAACCAGCCAAGCCGCGUGAGGGAUGAAGGUGCUAAGCAUUGUAAACCUCUUUUGUCAGGGAACAAAGGCAUCCACGAGUGGGUGUGUGAGUGUACCUGAAGAAAAAUGCAUCGGCUAACUCCGUGCCAGCAGCCGCGGUAAUACGGAGGAUGCGAGCGUUAUCCGGAUUUAUUGGGUUUAAAGGGUGCGUAGGCGGCCUGUUAAGUCAGCGGUAAAAGGCCCGGGGCUCAACCCCGGCGAGCCGUUGAAACUGGCUGGCUGGAGUUGGCGAGAGGUAUGCGGAAUGCGCGGUGUAGCGGUGAAAUGCUUAGAUAUCGCGCAGAACUCCGAUUGCGAAGGCAGCAUGCCGGCGCCACACUGACGCUGAGGCACGAAAGGCGUGGGGAUCAAAGCAGGAUUGAGAUACC
rnacentral:rRNA from 1 species